AUUGAACGCUGGCGGCAUGCCUUACACAUGCAAGUCGAACGGCAGCACGGGAGCAAUCCUGGUGGCGAGUGGCGAACGGGUGAGUAAUAUAUCGGAACGUGCCCAGUAGUGGGGGAUAACUGCUCGAAAGAGCAGCUAAUACCGCAUACGACCUGAGGGUGAAAGGGGGGGGUCGCAAGACCUCUCGCUAUUGGAGCGGCCGAUAUCAGAUUAGCUAGUUGGUGGGGUAAAGGCCUACCAAGGCAACGAUCUGUAGUUGGUCUGAGAGGACGACCAGCCACACUGGGACUGAGACACGGCCCAGACUCCUACGGGAGGCAGCAGUGGGGAAUUUUGGACAAUGGGCGCAAGCCUGAUCCAGCAAUGCCGCGUGCAGGAAGAAGGCCUUCGGGUUGGUAAAC
rnacentral:rRNA from 1 species